rnacentral:tRNA from 1 species
GGGGAUGUGGCUCAGUGAUAGAGCUCUUGCCUUGCAUGUACAAGGUCCUGGGUUUGAUUCCCAGCACCACAA